AUUGCCUCAGUAACGGCGAGUGAAGCGGCAACAGCUCAAAUUUGAAAUCUGGCCUCUUUGGGGUCCGAGUUGUAAUUUGUAGAGGAUGUUUCGGGCACCGCUCCGGUUUAAAUUUCUUGGAACAGAAUGUCAAAGAGGGUGAGAACCCCGUCUUGGACCGGCAGUAGGGCCCAUGUGAAACUCCUUCGACGAGUCGAGUUGUUUGGGAAUGCAGCUCAAAAUGGGUGGUAAAUUUCAUCUAAAGCUAAAUAUUGGCCAGAGACCGAUAGCGCACAAGUAGAGUGAUCGAAAGAUGAAAAGCACUUUGAAAAGAGAGUUAAACAGUACGUGAAAUUGUUGAAAGGGAAGCGCUUGCAACCAGACUUGCGCGCGGCGGUUCCCCCUUCCUUUUGGUUGGGUUAUUCCGCCGUGUCCAGGCCAACAUCGGUUCUGGGGGUCGGUUAAAGGCCUGGGGAAUGUAUCUACCCUUCGGGCGUAGACUUAUAGCCCCGGGUGUCAUGCGACCUCCCGGGACCGAGGAACGCGCUUCGGCUCGGAUGUUGGCGUAAUGGUUGUCAGCGACCCGUCUUGAAACACGGACCAAGGAGUCUAACAUCUAUGCGAGUGUUUGGGUGUCAAACCCGGAACGCGGAAUGAAAGUGAACGGAGGUAGGAAGCUUCGGCUGCACUAUCGACCGAUCCUGAUGUCUUCGGAUGGAUUUGAGUAAGAGCAUAGCUGUUGGGACCCGAAAGAUGGUGAACUAUGCCUGAAUAGGGUGAAGCCAGAGGAAACUCUGGUGGAGGCUCGCAGCGGUUCUGACGUGCAAAUCGAUCGUCAAUUUGGGUAUAGGGGCGAAGACUAAUCGAACCAUUAAAAAGUUACC
rnacentral:rRNA from 1 species